rnacentral:rRNA from 1 species
UUGGUUAAGUUAGAAAGGGCGCACGGUGGAUGCCUUGGCACUAGGAGCCGAAGAAGGACGGGACUAACACCGAUAUGCUUUGGGGAGCUGUACGUAAGCGUUGAUCCAGAGAUUUCCGAAUGGGGGAACCCACUAUCUUUAGUCGGAUAGUAUCCUUACGUGAAUACAUAGCGUGAGGAAGGCAGACCCAGGGAACUGAAACAUCUAAGUACCUGGAGGAAGAGAAAGAAAAAUCGAUUUCCUGAGUAGCGGCGAGCGAAACGGAAAGAGCCCAAACCAAGAAGCUUGCUUUUUGGGGUUGUAGGACACUCUAUACGGAGUUACAAAAGAAAGUUAUAAAUGAAGCGGUCUGGAAAGGCCCGCCAAAGACGGUAACAGCCCGGUAGUUGAAAUGGCUUUCCCUCCAGAGUGGAUCCUGAGUACGGCGGAACACGUGAAAUUCCGUCGGAAUCCGGGAGGACCAUCUCCCAAGGCUAAAUACUCCCUAGUGACCGAUAGUGAACCAGUACCGUGAGGGAAAGGUGAAAAGCACCCCGGAAGGGGAGUGAAACAGUUCCUGAAACCGUGUGCCUACAAGUAGUUAGAGCCCGUUAAUGGGUGAUAGCGUGCCUUUUGUAGAAUGAACCGGCGAGUUACGAUUUGUUGCAAGGUUAAGCGGAAAAAGCGGAGCCGUAGCGAAAGCGAGUCUGAAUAGGGCGCAUAAGUAACAGGUCGUAGACCCGAAACCAGGUGAUCUACCCAUGUCCAGGAUGAAGGUAAGGUAAUACUUACUGGAGGUCCGAACCCACGCACGUUGAAAAGUGCGGGGAUGAGGUGUGGGUAGCGGAGAAAUUCCAAUCGAACUUGGAGAUAGCUGGUUCUCUCCGAAAUAGCUUUAGGGCUAGCCUCGAGGUAAAGAGUCAUGGAGGUAGAGCACUGUUUGGACUAGGGGCCCUUCUCGGGUUACCGAAUUCAGAUAAACUCCGAAUGCCAUGUACUUAUACUCGGGAGUCAGACUGCGAGUGAUAAGAUCCGUAGUCGAAAGGGAAACAGCCCAGACCACCAGUUAAGGUCCCCAAAUAUAUGUUAAGUGGAAAAGGAUGUGGGGUUGCUUAGACAACCAGGAUGUUGGCUUAGAAGCAGCCACCAUUGAAAGAGUGCGUAAUAGCUCACUGGUCGAGUGACCCCGCGCCGAAAAUGUACCGGGGCUAAACAUAUUACCGAAACUGUGGAUGAACCUCUUUAGAGGUUCGUGGUAGGAGAGCGUUCUAAGGGCGGUGAAGUCAGACCGGAAGGACUGGUGGAGCGCUUAGAAGUGAGAAUGCCGGUAUGAGUAGCGAAAGAAGGGUGAGAAUCCCUUCCACCGAAUAUCUAAGGUUUCCUGAGGAAGGCUCGUCCGCUCAGGGUUAGUCGGGACCUAAGCCGAGGCCGAUAGGCGUAGGCGAUGGACAACAGGUAGAGAUUCCUGUACCAGUGCUAAUUGUUUAACCGAUGGGGUGACACAGAAGGAUAGGGAAUCGCACGAAUGGAAAUGUGCGUCCAAGCAGUGAGUGUGAG